CGCUGGCGGCGUGCCUAACACAUGCAAGUCGAGCGAGGAGAUUCCUUCGGGAUGAUCCUAGCGGCGGACGGGUGAGUAACACGUGGGCAACCUGCCUCAUAGAGAGGAAUAGCCUUCCGAAAGGGAGAUUAAUACCUCAUAACAUUGCAGUUUCGCAUGGAACAGCAAUUAAAGGAGUAAUCCGCUAUGAGAUGGGCCCGCGGCGCAUUAGCUAGUUGGUGAGGUAAUGGCUCACCAAGGCGACGAUGCGUAGCCGACCUGAGAGGGUGAUCGGCCACAUUGGGACUGAGACACGGCCCAAACUCCUACGGGAGGCAGCAGUAGGGAAUUUUCGGCAAUGGGGGAAACCCUGACCGAGCAACGCCGCGUGAAUGAAAGACGUAUUUCGGUAUGUAAAGUUCUUUUAUUAAGGAAGAAUAUCACGGAUAGGAAAUGAUCUGUGAGUGACGGUACUUAAUGAAUAAGCCCCGGCUAACUAUGUGCCAGCAGCCGC
rnacentral:rRNA from 1 species